GUGACUGCCAAUAAACCACACGUUUGUGUAACGCUGGGAAGGGCGGAUGUAACAUGACGAUUACAGAGGAACGCUUUCACUUUCUCAGUCAAGCAAGACAAAAAAAUAGACCCCAAAAAAAGAACUGGAUCCGAUUUCCUCUGCAUUGUUCUUCAUGUUUAUCUGUCUGGCAGCUGGCAGUGCAGAGACUGGGAUACUACUCCUGCACUGCGGACCCCAAAGUGGACGUAAACACGCUGAAAUGAAAGCUGCAAGUCACUCCUUUAAGCCUAAUGUUUCACCAGAGUCCUGGAGUCAGAGAAACCACAUCAAAAACCGGCUGAAUGUCAAAAUACUGACAGACUGCACUGCAGGAACAAAGGUUUAACAGGCAGCAAAAGUGUUAAAAAACUGAGCAACAUCUGUACAGACAAACCCUUUGUACUGCAUACUUUACUGUUGCAACACAAAUCUACACAUUGUGUAAUUUUAAUUAGGCAAUAUGACAGCCUUACUCACAGUCAUUAGCCUGUCACUCUCCACACCUAACGGGGAAAUAAAAAUCUUCUCUUAA